GGAUUCCCCUAGUAACGGCGAGUGAAGAGGGAAAAGCCCAGCACCGAAGCCUGCGGCAGUUUUGCUGUUAGGCAAUGUGGUGUUUGGGUCGGCUCGUGGGACCACCACUCCACUCGAAGUCCAGCAUUGAGUAUGGUUACUGGAUUUGGCCCAGAGAGGGUGAAAGGCCCGUACGGGUGGAGUAUCAGACAUGUGAGGUGGUUCACCAGGUCGACCUUAGAGUCGGGUUGUUUGGGAAUGCAGCCCAAAGUGGGUGGUAAACUCCAUCCAAGGCUAAAUACAAGCACGAGUCCGAUAGCGAACAAGUACCGUGAGGGAAAGUUGAAAAGUACUCUGAAGAGAGAGUAAACAGUACGUGAAACCGCAUGCAGGUAAACGGGUGGCGUCAAGCUGCAAGCCCGGAGAAUUCAGCCGGCUAGGUUGUGUAUGCGCCUGGCGCAUCCAUCAGUCAGAGUAUGAUUGGGUAGUCCACUAGUAAACAGUGGGCCUGUCCGCAAGGGCAGGAUAUGUGUACCGGGUGGGUGCCGGAGCAUGCUAUCCGUCUGUGGACUGUCUAGCCGGUGCACUUUCUCCGUGGUCAACACCACGACCGGUGGUAUUGCCAGUCUGCUGUGUCCAAGUCGUAUUUGGUAGGUCCUUGUGGCCAACCGAGUGCGAUCACAGGCAAACUCAGUAAACGGCGUGAGGGUGUUUCGGCACUUUCAUGUGUUAUCGGCUACUGGUUGUCAACGGGCCUGCUCUGUGUUUGUUGUAGCCGACACAGGGUGGUUCGGUGGGGCAUGGUGGUAAGAAUAACUGUGCAAGGCACCGGGGUUAUCGGCCUCAAAUGCGUCCUGCGUCCACGUUACAAGUGUAGGUACUGUGUCGCCGCUGCCUGCUCGGUGCUGGGUGUGAUUGGCGUGUUGCCUGCGAAAAGUAGGCCCGCCAAUGGCUCGGUUCGAGGUGGGUGGUUGGUGGCGUUGUCGACGGCGUGGGGCG
rnacentral:rRNA from 1 species